CGUGGAACCUAACCCAGCCAUCAAAACUUUGGUAGCCACCGCGUAGAACCUCUACCGAAACCUGCAAAACAGACAAAUCAAAUCAGCCCCAAUAAUCCAUUCCACACUGCAACACCCAACACCAAGAAGCUAAACGAUGUCGUUUAUGCGCGAAGAUUUGCUUUGUCGAACGGGGAAGGUGGUGAAGGGUCUAGCGAAGGCAGAACCCGGCGCCACCUACAACCCCACUGCCCCGUUCAUUUAUGCCUUGGAGUUUUUGGUGCUACCAAUGACCACAGAAUAUGCUCUGGCGUAGUUUCCUUCAACCGCAAAGGGUUUCACUUUUGGGGAUCUUCCCUUCGACCACUACAACUUCCACUGUAGGCGCAUACAAAAAGCCAAAACUGCUUGUUGGUGUAGAUUUGAUGGAUUGGAUGCCCUAUAACAAGUAACGGAUACUGGGUCUUUGGAGGAGAUCAUUGCUCUGUCAUUCUUCUGUUCAAAACAAACUUCUUCAUCAAAAUUCAAUAUAAGUUACACCACUUAUAGCCACUUUCUAAGGGAUUUAUUUUUAUAGAAUAUUCUUUCAGGGGAAUAUUUUGAAUAUAAUGUCCAAUUUACUUUUCGCUGUUAUCUGUUUAGUCUAUACUUAUGAAUUUCUUGGUUAAAAUUUAA